rnacentral:rRNA from 1 species
UAGUCCACGCUGUAAACGAUGUUCACUAGUUGCUGGGUUCCUUGGUGAAAUCAGUGACGAAGCUAACGCAUUAAGUGAACCGCCUGGGGACUACGGCCGCAAGGUUAAAACUCAAAGGAAUUGACGGGGACCCGCACAAGCGGUGGAGCAUGUGGAUUAAUUCGAGGCAACGCGAAGAACCUUACCUAGCCUUGACAUCCCGGGAAGUGAAACGAAAGUAGAUCGUGCCCUUCGGGGAACCCGGUGACAGGUGCUGCAUGGCUGUCGUCAGCUCGUGUCGUGAGAUGUUCGGUUAAGUCCGGCAACGAGCGCAACCCUUGUCCUUAGUUGCCACCAGUUCGGCUGAGCACUCUAGGGAGACUGCCGGUGUGAAACCGGNGGAAGGUGGGGAUGACGUCAAGUCCUCAUGGCCCUUAUGGGCUAGGGGCUUCACACGUGCUACAAUGGCUGGUACAAAGGGCAGCGAAACCGCGAGGUCGAGCCAAUCCCAAAAAACCAG